AGCCUCUCGGGACAGGUGUGAUGUUUCACAUUUUGUGCACGUUUUUGGUGAAGGUUUUUGGUGCCGUGUGCUGAUAAAUGUGCAACACAAUUCCAAAUAUUGUAAUCUUCUAAUCCAUUGAUGAUGAAGUUAUUUUGUCAAGUGACAUAUGAACCUUUCCCAUCGAUCAUUCUGAAAUUAUCUGCAAAAUGUGGGGAAAAGAAGGAAGACCAUGAAAAUUGUGGUUCAAAAAUAUGAUAAAACUAGGACAAAAUGGAGGGAAAUUGAUUUAUUUUUAAUGCUGUCUUUCAAUAAACUAAGCAGAAACUACAUUCAAUAUUGACAUCUCCAAUAUAGUUUAUAGAUUAUUCAUAAAUAAGUGGAAAUAUAGAAAUUAAUUUAUCUUCAAAUACAAUGUAACAACCUCAGGAAAAAUCAUGUCAUUAUUUGUGGGACCAAAGUCCAAAGUGAUUUUCAUUUUUGUCAAUAAACAUGAGAGAUGGGAGACUGACAAAAUGUGUAGAGAAAUCUGGAAUGUUUAGGGGGAAACAUUAAAAAAAUGGAAGUCAAAAUAAAUUAAUGACAUUUAUGAUGAAUUCAUGAAUAAAAACUGUUGUUUUAUGAAAUUAAAAAUGUAGUUUUAUGAUGUAACUGACUCAACAACCCCUCAAUCAUCAGAAGACACUAUUCGGAUUCCUUCAUGAUGCUGAUGCAAAUAUUGAGGCUAAAAUACGUCCAGCAAGAUGAAAGCUUCACUGUCAUUUCAGAUGUUGUAGCUCGCCUGUUAUUUAAAGCUCAUUGUCGACUACAUUGUGAGAUAGCAACUAAAGUUUUAGGAGUGUGUUUACUCUGUCAUGCUUGAGUGAAUAUUGGACAGCAGCAGUGUGGUCCCAGCGUCCCGGGGUCCUCCUCAACCCCUGGAGACAGAAGUGACAGAGACCUCGCCGACAGAGGAGUCAAAGGAGUGUGACCCCCACUGUUGGUCAGCAAGUUGCUUCUUUUGACACUUUGUCUCGCUGACAGAGGAAAAACACGGCCUCCCACGUGCGCAUGGUCACUCGGCUGCUUGUUACUGGAACACCAGAGGAAGCUGUCACAGUUAUUAUUUGAGGACAAUAAAUGAUGACAACACUGACACCCGCGCUUAUUUUUAGUCAUCGCCAGUGUUGAAGAAGAGACGCACUCAAGUUGUGUGUCAGCAGAAAAUGUUUCGCAACACAAGACAGCUCGCCAUUUAUUGACGUGUCCAUUUGCUGAUCUGAGGCUUUCUAUGUCCUCAAAUACGCAACUUAUUUCCGUUCUUGUUGUUCUGAGAUUGACCCUCCAGGAUGUACUUCAUUGGAUGAUAGGAGCAUGUGGCGCAGGGGGCGUACCAGCCCAGCGAUCAGACCCUGAAAACUCUUCAAAGGACCUGAGCAGCAUCGUCCUCUAACCUCUGGAAGGAACCAAAACAAGUGGAUUGAUGGAGAGAAGCGCUGGCGUCGCCAUGGAUCAUCCGGAGGCGAAGGAAGGUCAGCGUCGGGGUCCUGGCCACUGCUGGACUGCAAACAAGCGUGGGCUGAGCUGCAGGGGAGGGACGGCUCCAGGACUUAUCGACGCAGUGGCGAGAAAUGAAG